rnacentral:lncRNA from 10 species
GCGGGAACCCGGCCCGGCCGUACCCCGCCGGCCUGCCGACCCGGGUCCGGGGGCCCAGUUGGCGCCCGGACCAGCUCUCCGGUCUGCGUCCUGUAGAUGGGAAAACUGAGGCCUGAGAGGGCGCGAGGGCGGGGACGAGGCCGAGGACUCGGGUUCGAAUCUCGAGGACGCCAGUAGCCCGCUCUGAGGCCGCGUGGGGCUGGUGGAGGAGCCACCGGUCGGGCCCCCAAGACCGGCUGACGUGGGCCUCGCCUCGGGCGACUCCCGCCGGGCUAGUGGCUGGCCGUGUGGUGACCUUGGGCGAGUUACUUCGCACAGCCACCCAGGGGCCUCUUCUCCAACACGAUAGCACUGCACCCGGAGGGCCUUCAGACCUGAGCUGAAAUCUACACCACCGGCUCUCUGACUAUCAGGCUUUGGACUAUACUUUGGGCUUUCCUGGGUCUCUUACCUGGCAGACAGCAGAUUUUGGAACUUUUCAGCCUCCAUAAUCAUCCUUCCACCACGUGAUGACACAAGAAGGUCCUUGUACGAUGUUGG